GUCUGGGUGGUGUAGUUGGUUAUCAUGCUAGUCUCACACACUAGAAGUCCCCAGUUCGAACCUGGGCCUCAGACA